UACAGAGGUCUCAAGCGUUGUUCGGAUUCAUUGGGCGUAAAGGGUGUGUAGGUGGCGCGCUAAGUCGGGUGUGAAAUUUCGGAGCUUAACUCCGAAACUGCAUUCGAUACUGCCGUGCUUGAGGACUGGAGAGGAGACUGGAAUUUACGGUGUAGCGGUGAAAUGCGUAGAUAUCGUAAGGAAGACCAGUGGCGAAGGCGGGUCUCUGGACAGUUCCUGACGCUGAGGCACGAAGGUCAGGGGAGCAAACAGG
rnacentral:rRNA from 1 species